rnacentral:rRNA from 1 species
AACGCUGGCGGCAGGCUUAACACAUGCAAGUCGAACGAUGACUCUCCAGCUUGCUAGAGAAUGAUUAGUGGCGGACGGGUGAGUAACAUUUAGGAAUCUGCCUAGUAGUGGGGGAUAGCUCGGGGAAACUCGAAUUAAUACCGCAUACGACCUACGGGUGAAAGGGGGCGCAAGCUCUUGCUAUUAGAUGAGCCUAAAUCAGAUUAGCUAGUUGGUGGGGUAAAGGCCCACCAAGGCGACGAUCUGUAACUGGUCUGAGAGGAUGAUCAGUCACACCGGAACUGAGACACGGUCCGGACUCCUACGGGAGGCAGCAGUGGGGAAUAUUGGACAAUGGGGGCAACCCUGAUCCAGCCAUGCCGCGUGUGUGAAGAAGGCCUUUUGGUUGUAAAGCACUUUAAGCAGGGAGGAGAGGCUAAUGGUUAAUACCCAUUAGAUUAGACGUUACCUGCAGAAUAAGCACCGGCUAACUCUGUGCCAGCAGCCGCGGUAAUACAGAGGGUGCGAGCGUUAAUCGGAAUUACUGGGCGUAAAGCGAGUGUAGGUGGCUCAUUAAGUCACAUGUGAAAUCCCCGGGCUUAACCUGGGAACUGCAUGUGAUACUGGUGGUGCUAGAAUAUGUGAGAGGGAAGUAGAAUUCCAGGUGUAGCGGUGAAAUGCGUAGAGAUCUGGAGGAAUACCGAUGGCGAAGGCAGCUUCCUGGCAUAAUAUUGACACUGAGAUUCGAAAGCGUGGGUAGCAAACAGGAUUAGAUACCCUGGUAGUCCACGCCG